rnacentral:piRNA from 1 species
UGUGGUGGAUGAUAACAGU